rnacentral:sRNA from 1 species
GUUGGAGUCUACAACUUACAGCCACCACUGAAAUGAAGUGGAAGAAGGAGAAUGAGGAGGAGGAGGAAAAUGAGGAGGAGGAGGAGGGGAAAGAGGAGGAGGAGGAGAAAAAAGAGACAUCUGGGAUAGAUGCAAUCCCAAUGAUCUAAUUUGAAUAUCUGAGGGCCAAGGCUACCCCAGGUUUGACUAUUACCCACUCCAAUUCUUAAUAAUAAUAAAUAAUAAAUCUCCUCAGUCUCCUUCCCUUCCCCUUUCUCUUUUUCUUCUUCUUCUUUUUCCUCCUCCUCCCCUCCUCCUCCUCCUCCUCCACCUCUUCUUUUCUUCUUUCUUUCUUUCUCUUCAGCCAGUUGGAGUUAUCUUUCUA